rnacentral:rRNA from 1 species
UUUAUUGGAGAGUUUGAUCCUGGCUCAGGAUGAACGCUGGCGGCGUGCCUAAUACAUGCAAGUCGAGCGAAUGGAUUAAGAGCUUGCUCUUAUGAAGUUAGCGGCGGACGGGUGAGUAACACGUGGGUAACCUGCCCAUAAGACUGGGAUAACUCCGGGAAACCGGGGCUAAUACCGGAUAACAUUUUGAACUGCAUGGUUCGAAAUUGAAAGGCGGCUUCGGCUGUCACUUAUGGAUGGACCCGCGUCGCAUUAGCUAGUUGGUGAGGU